AUUCUCUCUACUGUUGGGAAACAGCACAUUUUCCAGCCCCAUCCUUCAUGCCAAAGUAACACCUUCCUUCCUUUAUAACUUUCUCCUUUUCUCUCCUAACCUUUUAUCUGCAACGCCUUUUCCCCUUCUAUAUCUCUCUCAAUAUUCUAUGAGCAUUCUCUUUUAAACAGCACUUCCAUUGUAUGAAUCUCUUUAAAAAUCCAUAGGGUUCUCCUCCAGCAACCCAGAAAACACCUCUCAUUAUAAUGGCCGGAGCAGCAUCAAAGUGCCUCUUCUUAUUCUUCUUGUCUCUUCUCACUAUUAGCUCUUCUGGAACUCUAGUGGGUUUCUACUACAAUGCCAGAGGAAUCACCGCAGCUUCUUCACUUAGCAGAACAGUAUCAUUUCUUGAGCUAAACAAGGUCUUUGCAAGUCAUUUAAGAGUUUUUGCUUCAGAUAACAGGGUUUUGAGUGCACUUUCCAACUUUAAUGUGUCUGUUGAUCUUUAUUUAGAUGAUAGCUUGGUUGAGAAUUUGAUAAAUUCUAAACCAUCUGCUAUCUCCUGGUUUAAGACCCUAUUAGUGACCUUUCUACCCCAUGUGAACAUCAAAAGCAUCAUUGUAAGCGUCAACAAUGACUUGCCAAAGCUUUUAUACUCUUUGAAAUCAAUCCAUUCAGUCCUGAAUAGGUUUCAUGUUGACAGUGAGGUUAAGGUCUCGGUAGCAUUUUCGUUGUCAUUCUUAGAAAAUUUGGAUAGAUCACAAGAAAAUGACCUCCAUGGGAUUUUGGGAUCUAUCAAGAGGACCAAGUCUUUUGUCACUGUGGAGACCAGUCUUGAUGUGGAUGUAGAACUGGGGAUGAAAGAUCUUUUUAUUCAAUCAAUGAUCCAAAAAGUCACAGCUGCCACUUCUCUGCUUUCUCCCUAUGAUGUUCCGAUAGCUAUGACAAUCAGGAGCCUUGUUGUUCCUGGUGCAAAAGAAGUAGCUGAGUUUGCUGAGAAGGUUUCAAAAUCUUUAGAGAACAGUAAGAUCACAGGUCAGGUAGCUGAAUUGUAUGCAGAAGUAUCUUCGGUAGAAGAUUUCAUGGAAAAGGAGCUGACGAGGGAACAUGAACAAAUCUUUCCCUCAUCUCGGAGAGAGCUCUUGACAAACUUCAGAACUACUUUACAUGAUGAUAUAAUCAAUACACCUACAGUUUUUCCGACAAAUCCCGGAUCAACACCACCAGGGACUCUCCCGCCAGAUACUCCAGCACCAACAAUAGUCACUGUCCCUGCUACCAAUCCUGCCAAUCCAGUAACUGUAACACCGACCAAUCCUGUAUCCACUCCAUUACCUUUCCCCUACACCACACCUGUCGAUUCCCCCCCUGCAAAUCCUUCUGUCAAUCCACCAGUACCAAUUAGCAAUCCAGUCACAACACCAGCACCUAUUACAGUUCCAGGUGCACAACCAGUGACUAAUCCUGUGACAACCUAUCCAACCCCAACAGGCAAUGUUCCGGUCACAGCACCAGUCACAAAUCCUGUGGCGCCUCCUGCAACGACAAAUGCUCCAGCAAUACCAGGACAGAGCUGGUGUGUGGCCAGGUCUGGAGUGACGGAGACAGCACUUCAAUCAGCAUUGGAUUAUGCGUGUGGAAUGGGAAGUGCAGAUUGUUCACAGAUCCAGCAAGGAGGGAAUUGUUACAAUCCAAACUCUCUUCAAAACCACGCUUCAUUUGCAUUCAACAGCUAUUAUCAGAAAAAUCCUGCGGCAACCAGCUGUGAUUUUGGAGGAACAGCCACUAUAGUUAAUGUGAAUCCAAGCACUGGUUCCUGCAUUUAUCCAACAUCAUCAUCUUCAUCAGGCACUCCAUCAUUGCCAGCGCCAACAACUUCAUCUGCAAAUCCAGCAACAACAUCACCGGUUGUCGGCGUGUCAGGCACUCCAUCAGUUUUGAACUCAUCAACCAACCCUGCCUCAAGUUUUGGGUUCGAUACUCCUCCCGUUCUUAACCCUCCAGCAUCAAUGUCAGCUAAUUUGCAGCCAUUUAUUGGUUGUUCCAUUUUCGUAACAUCAUUUGUUGCCAGAACAAUCAUUCUAGACAUGUAGAACAAAGAAUUUCUUUAUGUACACCAAAUGGAUUGGAAGCUCAUGCUUUCAGCAGAAGAUCAGAACUGCAGCAGUUUCCAAGUUCUGUACAGAACCAUCUUUAAUAGAAAAGGAAACUAGAGGGAAGUUCCAAAAGAAUGGUUUACAACACCAACAUCCUGAUAACAUUUUCUGGCUGGCCGGAAGUUGCGCAGAAUGUAAAGACUUUACUGCCGAAGGGUAAGAACCUAUGGAGCUCAGUUCAGAUGGUAAGUGGAUCUGCUUCCCGUGUUAGCGUCCAAGCUUCAAAUCCAUAUGAUCAACCUGUUUAAAACCAAACUAGCAAGCUAGAGACAUGGUCUUUGCAUGCAAAAUGAUUUGUUCAAGGUGAAUUAUUUUCGCAUAUGAUGGAUACAAGAUUUUCCCGACUGUCAAAAUCGCCCUGUGACUUCUUUGGCAAAAACCAAAUUUACACCAGUUAAAACAUAUUUGU